UCUUUGUGAUGGAUCACUUGGGUGUCGUCGACGAUGAAGAACGUAGCAAGCAGCGUUAUUUAAUGUGAAAUGCACACUUCGUGAAUCAUCGAGUUUUCGAACAAAUACACGACUGCCUGGUUCAUGCCGGUGCAGUACUUGUUUGAGAGUGUC
rnacentral:rRNA from 2 species